GUUAUUGGCAACAACUAUUGAAUGCUACCAGUGAGGCUACUUCUUCCUCUAAUGUUGGUAUAUGAUGUAUUAUUAGUUUCUACAGGGCAGAUUCACUCUUAUAUGCAUCAAUACCAGGAAUCCAUUUCUAAUCAAGAUGGAGGACGUAUGAUACAAUAAUUAGGCACUUGACAAUAUUACAGAAUUGAUCAAGCAAUAGGUAAAUCCAAAACAAUAACAAGUAAUUUUUAAAUACAUUUUUACAGAGUCCAAACCCCCCUCUCACUGCGCUAUCCCUUUCCCAGUAAACAAAUAAUUUGUUGGCCCUGUGAGCACGAAAUCAUAUAGAUCAGACAAAAUACAAUGCAGCCAAUUAUUCGGAGUUCAUUAUUAUUUAUGUGCUCAAAUUUAUGUGCUCAAAAACAUCAUGGUUCAAUCCAACAAGGUUUCCUUUAUAAAUUUACAACACUUUCAGGGACAUAGAAAUUAUAACGCAAAAUCUUCUUA
rnacentral:misc_RNA from 1 species